UACGUAGGGACCAAGCGUUGUUCGGAAUUACUGGGCGUAAAGAGCGCGCAGGCGGUCGUUCAAGUCGAGUGUGAAAGCCCCCGGCUCAACUGGGGAGGGUCACUCGAUACUGAUCGACUCGAAGGCAGGAGAGGGAAGCGGAAUUCCCGGUGUAGUGGUGAAAUGCGUAGAUAUCGGGAGGAACACCAGUGGCGAAGGCGGCUUUCUGGCCUGUUCUUGACGCUGAGGCGCGAAAGCUAGGGUAGCAAACGGG
rnacentral:rRNA from 1 species